UCGCUCGACGCUCUGCCGGCAAGGAGAACAAGGCCUGAGGACGCUAGUGAAGGUAGACAGGCAGACGGUGAAUUAAAGGACACGUGCGCACAAGGCCGAGAUGGAAAAGGAAGGUCCUCUGCGGCGAAUCCUGAGAAGAGGAGAAGGGAGAAUCCAGAGGAAAUGACGGAGAGCCGGUGACAUAGAGGCUGUUUGACCACACCGCAGCCAUCAUGAUUGUCAAAUAGGGCUACUCAACUGGCGGCCUGCGGUCUGAAUCAGGACCUUCUGAGCAUUGUAGUGGGACCCCUGGCUCCAGGAUGAACAGAGUAUAAAGUAGUUAACUGAAGGCCCUGGUGAUGGAUUUCCUCGACUGACUGUAGGCUCUACAAAGGAAUGCAUUGGUACCUUCAAUCAAAUCUUCAUGGUGACUCCUGAAGUAGUGAAACUUGCUGAUGGCCAUUGUGACAGACCAGGAAAUUUCAUAAGUGCCUUGUCUGCCGUAGAAGCAUUCGUGAAGACCCAUAAGAAGUCCAUGUGUCCCUGUAGUAAGGUUGACUGCCAGUGCAUUGCUUUCUUUGAUUAUAAGAUGUGCACUGAUUAAUUACAAGGCUGUCGCAACAGUAUAAAGAAAACACAUCAAGCUCUGCUAUAUAAUGAUCAUUUCUUUUAUAGCCCAAUGCCGUCGGGUCGGAAAACAUCUC